rnacentral:rRNA from 1 species
UCGGGAAUAUUGCGCAAUGGAGGAAACUCUGACGCAGUGACGCCGCGUGCAGGAAGAAGGUUUUCGGAUUGUAAACUGCUUUAGACAGGGAAGAAAAAAUGACAGUACCUGUAGAAUAAGCUCCGGCUAACUACGUGCCAGCAGCCGCGGUAAUACGUAGGGAGCAAGCGUUAUCCGGAUUUAUUGGGUGUAAAGGGUGCGUAGACGGGAAGACAAGUUAGUUGUGAAAUCCCUCGGCUUAACUGAGGAACUGCAACUAAAACUAUCAUUCUUGAGUGCUGGAGAGGAAAGUGGAAUUCCUAGUGUAGCGGUGAAAUGCGUAGAUAUUAGGAGGAACACCAGUGGCGAAGGCGGCUUUCUGGACUGUAACUGACGCUGAGGCACGAAAGUGUGGGGAGCAAACAGGAUUAGAUACCC